AACGCUAUUGGUAGUAAUGUCAGUACUUGCAGUGCAUAACGGAACGCACCCCAGUUGCAGUUAUCGCCGUUGAAGCGUGGUUCUUUACUUGCCGCUUUCUUUGUGUCAAGAAACACCGAUAUAAAAGUUGAAAUUUGCGACUGGACUGAAACAUUGCCAAUAUCUGAACAUCAAUAUAUACUUGUCAUAUAUAGAUUGGACAAUCAGAUAAUAUAAGCGGAAAAAAGGUAGAGAAAACACUUAGAAAUUAUGCUUAGAUGUGAGUGAAGGAUAAUCACCUCGAUGACCUGUGUCUCCUCGUGAUGGAAUUAUUAAUGUCCGUCCCGGAACAACGAAGGUCCAACUCCUCCUGAAACGGUGAACUGCUACAGACAGUAGAAGUAGGAAAUUGGAUGCAUGAAAGAAGAAGGAAAAUUAAGAGAAGAAAAGAUGUGGACAGAUAUAGGUCACACAAAUAGAUAAAGCUUUUGCAUCCAUUUUGUUUCGCGCGUAUACAAGUGCGGAUGGUUAAUGCAUGGCGAUCUCUACGUGACAGUUAGUGAUUAGCGACCAUGCGGACGCGGUAGAUCAGUGCACAGUGAGGGAUCUACUUCUGUGGCCGAGAUAAUCUAACCUGCGUCGCGUCCUCACUCUCACCCUCCAGCUCGAGCUUCUGGCGUUUCGAACGUUCGCCAUCGACCUCUUCCCCGUUUUCGCGUGAUUUCAACAUCGACAAGCUGUAAACAUUGGUACAAAGCUGUCAUCAAUUUUCAGUACACUUAUACGCAUAUUAAUUCACGUUCUCAGAUGUUUUAAUUAAUAAAUCGGUGUCUUUUGUUUAUCAAAAUACACUUGAGCGUGAGUUUAAUUGAAAAUAAACUGUUGAUCUUUUAGGAUCUUUUAGAUAAACGUUGAAUCAUAAAUCUGAAUUUUUUAAAUAUGAGUUGUGAAUUUUAUAUAAAGUUCUCUAUAAAUGUAUGAUAUUUACUAUUGGCUCUUGGAGUAAUGGUACCCGGAAUCGCGGACGACACGACGCGCCAAAGGAAACAAUUCGUCUCUCCUAGUAAGAAGGGCAGGUACGAAUCUGCAAAUUUGCGCCGCUGCUUCAUUCACAGACACCUCGUGCAACGUAAGCGGUUUCUCCGGUUUCCUCUUGCAGUCGAACCUGCCGUAAAUCGCCGCGUACUUCCGAAUUUCGUCCAUUUUGCGCGGAUCACUAUCGGACAUUGUCAUCACCAUCUGUAAUAUAUACAUUCAAAAAGUACAAUUUGCUAUUUUAAUUAAUUUUA